rnacentral:rRNA from 1 species
UGGGGAAUCUUGGACAAUGGGCGCAAGCCUGAUCCAGCCAUGCCGCGUGAGUGACGAAGGCCUUAGGGUUGUAAAGCUCUUUUGCCGGGGACGUGGUACCCGGAGAAUAAGUCCCGGCUAACUUCGUGCCAGCAGCCGCGGUAAUACGAAGGGGACUAGCGUUGUUCGGAAUUACUGGGCGUAAAGCGCACGUAGGCGGAUUUGUAAGUCAGGGGUGAAAUCCCGGGGCUCAACCUCGGAACUGCCUUUGAUACUGCAAAUCUCGAGUCCGAUAGAGGUGGGUGGAAUUCCUAGUGUAGAGGUGAAAUUCGUAGAUAUUAGGAAGAACACCGGUGGCGAAGGCGGCCCACUGGAUCGGUACUGACGCUGAGGUGCGAAAGCGUGGGGAGCAAACAGGAUUAGAUACCCUAGUAGU